rnacentral:rRNA from 1 species
GAUCAUGGCUCAGGAUGAACGCUGGCGGCGUGCUUAACACAUGCAAGUCGAACGGGAAUUACUUUAUUAAAACUUCGGUCGAUUUAAUUUAAUUCUAGUGGCGGACGGGUGAGUAACGCGUGGGUAACCUGCCUUGUACAGGGGGAUAACAGUCAGAAAUGACUGCUAAUACCGCAUAAGCGCACAGGACCGCAUGGUCCGGUGUGAAAAACUCCGGUGGUAUAAGAUGGACCCGCGUUGGAUUAGCUUGUUGGUGGGGG